GAAUAUGAAGCGAUAUCGCAAUUAGUUUCGACCUAAUCUUAGGUAAUAAUUUAUACCCUUAUUCU
rnacentral:tRNA from 1 species